rnacentral:tRNA from 1 species
GGACAGAUGGCCGAGUGGUUAAGGCGACGGUCUUAAGUUCUUUGCACAACUGAUACAUUUGUGUCGUCUGCAACUUUGUACACCGUUAUCCGUGAGGAUGCAGGAGUUCGAACCUCCUUCUGUCCA